GCUGGGUGUGGUGGUGCAUACCUGUAGUCCCAGCUACUUGGGAGGCUGAGGCAGGAGGAUCACCUGGGUUCAGCAGUUCGAGACUGCAGUGAGCUGAGAUCACACCACUGCACUCCAGGCUGGGUAACAAAGUGAACUCCUGUCUCAA
rnacentral:SRP_RNA from 1 species